GGAUGCUGCGUGACAAACGUGACUUUGUUUACAACGCGUGCAGACCGUUUAAAAUACAGAUCCUGGAGAUGACAGCUCAGUGACUGUUUUAUAAAUCUAACUGAACGGCACAUAUUCCGACCCAUUAACAAACAGAAUAGACACAUGCUGCGAUAAAUGCAGGAAACGAGUGACCUGCGACUCACUGUAACCUUAAUUUUUCUGCAGCACAUUAACCAGAGGCUGAAACACAGAAACAGCUUGAAGGCCACAAGCUCGACUUCAACAGCAUACGGGAUGUGUUUGGACAGAAGCAGAGCUCUGGGACGUGUGGACAGACUUUGACUGUAAUGAUAGACGUCUGCUCAAGGACAGAAGCAUAACCGCUGCUGGACAUCGCUCUGGGUCUCAGGGGGGGACCCGAAUCAUCCUCACCCCUUCAUUCACACAACACUCACUCAUAUCACAGAGAUCUGGCUGGGAUUGAACCAGCGACCUCCGAACCGUGAGGCAGCGCUCUUACCUGUGAGCCACAGAUCUCUUGCUUGAGGUUGUGCUGGAACGUAUAUUUCACUAUUCACCUG
rnacentral:lncRNA from 1 species